GACGAACGCUGGCGGCGUGCCUAACACAUGCAAGUCGAACGGAGAUACGAUUUCGGUUGUAUCUUAGUGGCGAACGGGUGAGUAACACGUGAGCAACCUGACUCUUAGAGGGGGAUAACACUGGGAAACGAGUGCUAAUACCGCAUAAGACCACGACCUGGAAUCAUGACGAGGUCAAAGGAGCAAUCAGCUUCAGGAGGAGCCUGCGUCCGAUUAGCUAGUUGGUUAGGUAAAGGCUGACCAAGGCGAUGAUCGGUAGCUGGUCUGAGAGGAUGAUCAGCCACACUGGGACUGAGACACGGCCCAGACUCCUACGGGAGGCAGCAGUGGGGAAUAUUGGACAAUGGGGGCAACCCUGAUCCAGCAAUGCCGCGUGUGUGAAGAAGGCCUUCGGGUUGUAAAGCACUUUAGUUGGGGAAGAAGGUGUAUUGUUUAAGAGAUGAUACAUUUGACUGUACCCAAAGAAUAAGCACCGGCUAACUCUGUGCCAGCCGCCGCGGUAA
rnacentral:rRNA from 1 species